rnacentral:rRNA from 1 species
GGUUUCGAUUCUGGCUCAGAUUGAACGCUGGCGGGAUGCUUUACACAUGCAAGUCGAACGGCAGCACGGACUUCGGUCUGGUGGCGAGUGGCGAACGGGUGAGUAAUGUAUCGGAACGUGCCCUAGUAGCGGGGGAUAACUACGCGAAAGCGUAGCUAAUACCGCAUACGCCCUUCGGGGAAAGCGGGGGACCUUCGGGCCUCGCACUAUUAGAGCGGCCGAUAUCGGAUUAGCUAGUUGGUGGGGUAACGGCUCACCAAGGCGACGAUCCGUAGCUGGUUUUGAAGGACGACCAGCCACACUGGGACUGAGACACGGCCCAGACUCCUACGGGAGGCGGCAGUGGGGAAUUUUGGACAAUGGGAAACCUGAUCCAGCCAUCCCGCGUGCGAUGAAGGCCUUCCGGGUUGUAAAGCACUUUUGGCAGGAAGAAACGGCACGGGAUAAUACCCGUGCAACUGACGGUACCUGCAGAAUAAGCACCGGCUAACUACGUGCCAGCAGCCGCGGUAAUACGGCGGUGCAAGCGUUAAUCGGAAUUACUGGGCGUAAAGCGUGCGCAGGCGGUUCGGAAAGAAAGAUGUGAAAUCCCAGAGCUUAACUUUGGAACUGCAUUUUAGCUACCGAGCUAGAGUGUGUCAGAGGGAGGUGGAAUUCCCGCGUGUAGCAGUGAAAUGCGUAGAUAUGCGGAGGAACACCGAUGGCAGAAGGCAGCCUCCUGGGAUAACACUGACGCUCAUGCACGAAAGCGUGGGGAGCAAACAGGAUUAGAUACCCUCGUGAGUCCACGCCCCUAAACGAUGUCAACUAGCUGUUGGGGCCUUCAGGCCUUGGUAGCCGCAACUAACGCGUGAAGUUGACCGCCUGGGGAAGUACGGUCGCAAGAUUAAAACUCAAAGGAAUUGACGGGGACCCGCACAAGCGGUGGAUGAUGUGGAUUAAUUCGAUGCAACGCGAAAAACCUUACCUACCCUUGACAUGUCUGGAAUCCCGAAGAGAUUUGGGAGUGCUCGCAAGAGAACCGGAACACAGGUGCUGCAUGGCUGUCGUCAGCUCGUGUCGUGAGAUGUUGGGUUAAGUCCGCAACGAGCGCAACCCUUGUCAUUAGUUGCUACGAAGAACGCUCUAAUGAGACUGCCGGUGACAAACCGGAGGAAGGUGGGGAUGACGUCAAGUCCUCAUGGCCCUUAUGGGUAGGGCUUCACGUCAUACAAUGGUCGGGACAGAGGGUCGCCAACCCGCGAGGGGGCCAAUCCCAGAAACCCGAUCGUAGUCCGGAUCGCAGUCUGCAACUCGACUGCGUGAAGUCGGAAUCGCUAGUAAUCGCGGAUCAGCAUGUCGCGGUGAAUACGUUCCCGGGUCUUGUACACACGCCCGUCACACCAUGGGAGUGGGUUUUACCAGAAGUGGUUAGCCUAACCGUAAGGAGGGCGAUUACCACGGUAAGUUCAUGACUAGGGUGAAGUCGUAACAAAGGUAAC